GUGGGGAAUAUUGGACAAUGGGCGAAAGCCUGAUCCAGCCAUGCCGCGUGUGUGAAGAAGGUCUUCGGAUUGUAAAGCACUUUAAGUUGGGAGGAAGGGCAGUAAGUUAAUACCUUGCUGUUUUGACGUUACCGACAGAAUAAGCACCGGCUAACUUCGUGCCAGCAGCCGCGGUAAUACGAAGGGUGCAAGCGUUAAUCGGAAUUACUGGGCGUAAAGCGCGCGUAGGUGGUUUUGUAAGUUGGAGGUGAAAUCCCCGGGCUCAACCUGGGAACUGCCUCAAAAACUGCAUGGCUAGAGUACGGUAGAGGGUAGUGGAAUUUCCUGUGUAGCGGUGAAAUGCGUAGAUAUAGGAAGGAACACCAGUGGCGAAGGCGACUACCUGGACUGAUACUGACACUGAGGUGCGAAAGCGUGGGGAGCAAACAGGAUUAGAAACCCCGGUAGUCC
rnacentral:rRNA from 1 species